GUUUUUCAGCUUCUUUAUUGUUUCUGAUUCAAUAAUCAAAUAUUAACUAAAAGAGACAUUGGUCCAUUUUAAUAAUGAAAACUGAUUUUAGUUGGUGCACAUUACAAUGGCUAAGAACAUUCUUUAGGAGCUUUCUUUUGGACAUUGUUGGUUUAUUUUAAUUGAAUGAAAUACUGAUAAUCUAUGCUCCCAGAGGAAAUAGUACCUCCAUUUCUAUAACUAACCAUUUCAGGUUUGUUUGCUAAUCUUUCUUAGUGUGGCUUUUGUCAGUUUCUGUGAAUUGGGUCCUGUUUUUUUAUCCAGAAACCAAAUUAUGCCCUUUCCUAUAAUGUCCUGCUUGUAGAAAUAUAAGGAGUCUUUGGAUGGGAAGAUGACUUUUUCUGAAAUGUGUAUCUCAUAGUAUGCAGAGUUAAUUUGGUGAACAAAGGAGAAAGGGACUAGCAUUAGACCCAAAAUUUUCUCUUACAAAUUAUCUCUAUCCUUUUAGUAAUAUUAUGUUGGAAUCACUUAAGAAGAACUUUUCUACUAAUAAAAACACUCCCUAUUUGUAUGUAGCCUGCCUUCUACAGAUCCUUGCAGGAGUGUUGCAUAGCAUAUGUCCUACCUUCUAAAAGAAAAAUGUGGUCCAUGUAGUAACCAUUAUCAGGCCUGGUGUUAAGUAUCAUGUAUUUCAGACAGAAAAGCUCAAUUAGCUCUGACUUUUACAACCUUACUAAGUAAAAACACCUUCCUACCAAGUGUCCCUAAAUUCUUUUCACCUCUUGAGUCAAGUCUUCCAAAAUACAAAAAAUAACUACUUAUAGUGUCAGUGAGCAGUUUUCCAUUUAGUUUUAGUACAAAUAAAAAUCACUUGAAACAAAAUCUCUGAGCAGAGGUAAUUUCAAAUAUUAUUCUCCAAUUUCCAUCUCACAUGAAAUCAGAACGUCAGUAACUAUGGGUCUGAUUUAUGCCUUUGUACAAAGGUAAAUUGAACUCUUUUAUCUAGAUCUAGUUCCUCAGGUGAAGAACAGAAAUAUGAAGGAAAUACAUGAAGGAGUAGGUCUCACAUGGAGGUAAAGACUAGUUUUAGAUAUCUUUCAGUAGAAUUUAUUUCCUCAUUCCCCAACUGAAAGUCUUAUUUAUUUCUCAGGCUGGCCUUGAAAUUGUGGUCCUCCUGCCUCAGUCUCCCACGUAGCUAGUUUUAUACACAUGAGCCACUAUGCUUGGCUAGAAAGAAUUUCCAUUUAAUUCUAUUUCCUUGCUGAGAUUUCUUCUUUUAAUUCACUGCAAGCUUGCUUUCCUUUAUUGAACAUAGUGAUAAUUACUUUAAAAUCUUUUUCUGAUAUAGUCAACAUCUGAAUAAUCUCAGAAUUAGUUCCAUUAUUUAUUCUCUACAGAAUGGGUCUGUUUUUUACUAUUGUUUUCUUUGUGUCCUUCAUAUGUUGAGUAAUUUUAAAUUGAGCCCUGAAUAUUGUAAAUGUUGGUAUUAUGGAUUCUGUUAUAUUCCUCUGAAGAAUGCUGAUUUUCUUUUUUAUGUUAGCAGGCAUUAACUUUAUUGGACUCAACUUGUAAACUGUGUCUUGAGCAGCAAUUCAAAUAUCAAUUCAGUUCUUUUAUCUGUAACUGGAAUCUGUC
rnacentral:lncRNA from 1 species